CAUGCCUGGAUAGGAGAUGCCCAGGCGACAUGCCAGCGAGCGGUGAGUUAAAGACAGGAGCCCAUCUACAGCUCCCCACUUCCUCGUGUUCCCUCAGCACCUCCAGAGAUGAGAAAAAAAUUGACUUCUGAUGGGAAGGGGGUUUCUCAGCCCAAGUCCCCUCCAACAUCAACUCCAACCACUCAGGAACAAGCAGUUCAACUCUAUUUCCCCAAAGAGGUCUGUGGCUGCUUUCCUGCUACAAUGGCAGAGCUGCGCGAUUAUGACGGAGACGAUGUGAUCUGCAAAGCCUAAAAUAUUUCCUACCUGGCCCCCUUUACAGUAAAGCUACUCUUGAAAAAUGCUCGUCUUGUUGCUACUGGUGUAAGAGAAAAUAAAUUCUUCCACUAUGC